UAUCUAAUCCUGUUCGCUACCCACGCUUUCGUCCCUCAGCGUCAGUAUAUUGUUAGUAAUCUGCCUUCGCAAUCGGUAUUCUGUGUGAUCUCUAUGCAUUUCACCGCUACACCACACAUUCUAACUACUUCACAAUAACUCAAGUCUUUCAGUAUCAAAGGCAAUUCUACAGUUGAGCUGUAGGAUUUCACCUCUGACUUAAAAGACCGCCUACGGACCCUUUAAACCCAAUGAUUCCGGAUAACGCUUGGAUCCUCCGUAUUACCGCGGCUGCUGGCACGGAGUUAGCCGAUCCUUAUUCGUACAGUACCGUCAAAUACCUACACGUAGGUAUAUUUCUUCCUGUAUAAAAGCAGUUUACAACCCAUAGGGCAGUCUUCCUGCACGCGGCAUGGCUGGAUCAGAGUUGCCUCCAUUGUCCAAUAUUCCUCACUGCUGCCUCCCGUAGGAGUCUGGUCCGUGUCUCAGUACCAGUGUGGGGGGUCUCCCUCUCAGGACCCCUACCUAUCGAAGUCUUGGUAAGCCGUUACCUUACCAACUAACUAAUAGGACGCAUGCCCAUCUUCUACCGCCGGAGCUUUCUUCUUUAAAUAAUGCUAUUCAAAGAUCGUAUGGGGUAUUAUUCAACAUUUCUAUUGACUAUCCCCCUGUAGAAGGUAGGUUGCAUACGCGUUACGCACCCGUGCGCCGGUCGUCAGCGGAUUGCAAGCAAUCCCUGUUACCCCUCGACUUGCAUGUGUUAAGCCUGCCGCUAGCGUUCAUCCUGAGCCAGGAUCAAACUCU
rnacentral:rRNA from 1 species